rnacentral:rRNA from 1 species
GACAGAGGGUGCAAACGUUGUUCGGAAUUACUGGGCGUAAAGCGCGUGUAGGCUGCUCGGAAAGUCGGAUGUGAAAGCCCUGGGCUCAACCUAGGAAGUGCAUUCGAAACUUCCGAGCUGGAGUGCUGGAGAGGAAGGCGGAAUUCUCGGUGUAGAGGUGAAAUUCGUAGAUAUCGAGAGGAACACCGGUGGCGAAGGCGGCCUUCUGGACGGCGACUGACGCUGAGACGCGAAAGCGUGGGGAGCAAACAGG